UUGAAAGGGAAACGAUUGAAGUCAGUCGUACCAGCGGGAAAUCAACCUUUCGAGUGGGGGUUUUGGAGUUUUUUGAAGAGUGUCAAAACCUUUGAGAUUUCAAAAUAUUCGCUCUUUUGGUGUACUUUCUCGUGGGUAGGUUAACAUCGAUUUUGAUCAUCAUAAAAAGAUUGGGAGGAAUGUAGCUUCGAUCUUGUAUUGAAGUGUUAUAGCCUUUGGCAAAUGUGAUGAUUAGGAUCGAGGAUUGCAACGAAUACCCUUUUGGGCUAUCCGCCUGAUCUCUGAUACGUGGCCUUGGUAUCGAAAGCGUGCUUAUGGUAUUGAGGUAUUACGGUCAAAAGGUUAGAACGGAUUACAUUCGUUAAGGAUGUUGACGUA
rnacentral:rRNA from 1 species